CCCAGGGCUCACGCCCUGGGCUACAAUAUGCCGCCCUCUGCUAGGGCU
rnacentral:sRNA from 1 species